CGGGGUAGAGUAACGCGUGAGGAACCUGCCUCAAAGAGGGGGGAAACAGUUGGAAACGACUGCUAAUACCGCAUAAGCCCACGGCUCGGCAUCGAGCAGAGGGAAAAGGAGUGAUCCGCUUUGAGAUGGCCUCGCGUCCGAUUAGCUAGUUGGUGAGGUAACGGCCCACCAAGGCAACGAUCGGUAGCCGGACUGAGAGGUUGAACGGCCACAUUGGGACUGAGACACGGCCCAG
rnacentral:rRNA from 1 species